rnacentral:lncRNA from 1 species
UCAAAUUGCGUUUUGGACGUUCCAUUUUUGUGCGCAAACCAUUUUAAAGUUGUUUUGAAAAACAGCCCUCUGCACUCGAAAAUUUACUUUUAAGAAUAAUGUAGUGAUAAACCAUGCUAACAUAAAGUUGUCACAAAUUUUGUGGAAUUUUCAGUUUAGUGGACAUUUUAUAACUGUACACUUUUUUUAUACAUCCUGUAUAAUUGUUUUGUAGAUCACUUGAUCCGCAAACCCAUAUCUUCAUUAGUGCAAAUAAUAGAAUUAAAUAAUCUUAUCAACAGUGAUUAAGAUCUGGACGUAGGGAUCGAAUGCUUUGCUAAACAAAUAAACGUGGUGUUUUACGACAAAGCGAACCAAUUUAUUUCGCCAUGCAUGCAAACCUACAAGGAACACGUUCUCGCAAUACUUUAAAUAACUAUAUGUUAGUUUUCCAUGUUUUGUCUUCACACUUCA